rnacentral:lncRNA from 1 species
CGGGGAUGCCGGGACGGGUGCGGCCGCUGAGUCAGGGCUGCCGCCGCGCCCAGGUUGGGCGCCGGGGGGCCGGGAAGGGCGCCGGGGGGCAGGGCAGGGCGUGGGGCUGGGCCCUGCGCCGUGGGGCAGGGCAAUCUGUGGGGCUGGGCACUACACGCCGUGGGGCAGGGCAGGAUGUGGGGCUGGGCCCUGCGCCGUGGGGCUGGGCCCUGCGCCGUGGGGCAGAGCAAUAUGUGGGGCUGGGCACUACACGCCGUGGGGCAGGGCAAUAUGUGGGGCUGGGCCCUACACGCUGUGGGGCAGAGCAGGAUGUGGGUCUGCGCCCCACACGCCAUGGGGCUGUGCCCCACGUCCAUGGGGCAGAGCAGGCUGUGGGGCUGGGCCCCAUAUGCCAUGGGGCUGGGCCCUACACGCCAUGGGGCUGGGCCCCACACACCAUGGAGCUGUGCCCCACACACUGUGGGGCAGAGCAGGAUGUGGGGCUGGCUCCCACACACCAUGGGGCUGGGCCCUACAUGCCGUGGGGCAGAGCAGGCUGUGGGGCUGGGCCCCACAUGCUGUGGGGCUGGGCCCCAGACGCUAUGGGGCUGGGCCCCACACGCUGUCGGGCAGAGCAAUAUGUGGGGCUGGGCCCCACACGCUAUGGGGCUGGGCCCUACGUGCUAUGGGGCUGUGCCCCACACACUGUGGGGCAGAGCAAGAUGUGGGGCUGGGCCCUACACGCCAUGGGGCUGGGCCCUACGUGCUAUGGGGCUGGGUCCCAGACGCCAUGGGGCAGAGCAGGCUGUGGGGCUGGGCCCCACAUGCUAUGGGGCUGGGCCCUACAUGCCGUGGGGCAGAGCAGGCUGUGGGCCUGGGCCCCAGACGUCAUGGGGCUGGGCCCUCCACACUAUGGGGCUGGGCCCUACACACUAUGGGGCUGUGCCCCACAUCUAUGGGGCAGAGCAGGCUGUGGGGCUGUGCCCCACACACCAUGGGGCUGGGCCCUACACGCUAUGGGGCUGGGCCCCACAUCCAUGGGGCAGAGCAGGCUGUGGGGCUGGGCCCUACACGCUAUGGGGCUGGGCCCUACACGCCAUGGGGCUGUGCCCCACAUCCAUGGGGCAGAGCAGGCUGUGGGGCUGGGCCCUACACGCUAUGGGGCUCGGCCCUACACGCUAUGGGGCUG